GAAAUAAUAAAUAAUGGAACCAGGUCCUGUGAAAUUCACACCGACAGGAUAUUCCGACAGAAUAAUAAAGACAGAAUAAUAAAUAAUAGAACCAAGUCCGGCGUAUAGCACAGACAGGAUAUUCCGACAGAAUAAUAAAGACGAAAUAUAAAUAAUAGAACCAGGUCUGGCGUAUAGCACAGACAUGAUAUUCUGACAGAAUAAUAAAGACGGAAUAUAAAUAAUGGAACUAGGUCCGCACAAACAUAAUAUUUCGACGGAAUAAUAAAGACGGAAUAUAAAAAGAUUUCACCAAGUAUAGGGUAUACCGCGUAUACAGGUUAUUCUAACAGAAUAAUAAAGAAUGGAAUAACAGAAGUUCUCUUCAUGAUUACAAAAGAAAUAAUACCCCUUACGGGUAUAACAAAUAAUAUCCCUUCCCGUAAAAAAAAAC
rnacentral:lncRNA from 1 species